CGCGCCACGAAAUUAUUUGCCGCUUUUAAAAGAGUUUAGGCACGUUUUGUGCAAUAAAUAUGCAAGUUCGAAAACUGCAGCCAGUAAACCAGAUAACGACACCCAUUGAUUAGGCCUACCAUUGUAAAGAUGGAGGCAGUCCUGCUGAAGAUGGAGCCUGAUGUCAUUGCAGAAAGUGACCAGUGUAUGGACUUCGAAGACCAAGCUAUGGAGGGCGGAACCAGCAGAUCAAAAAUAAAGAGAGAGCCACCCACUAACAGCAACCACGGUGCAGAUGACCCUCAUAGAUGACUUUAAAUAAAGGUGGAAGACGACUUGGCAAGGUGCCUGCUGUCGAAUGAUGCAAUCUCUCAAAGGUAGGAGAAGAUGCUUCAGCACUUUCGACUAACCCAGCUUUAGUGGCAAUGCGGAAUGAACCCAGGCUCGAGAUCUGCCUCAGAUGCAAGUCAGUUGAAUCACACAUCAGGGCCAAAUACCGCUAUUUACAGACUCGCCAGCUGGUUUGGGGGCGCUCGAACGAAUUCUGCGUAAUCGAGAUAACACGAUACAAAUCGGAUCUAUCUUUUGAAAAUGGUGGCCCUGCUACUCUCGCAAAGUUGUGUAUGACAGUAAUGCUGGGACAGUAUAGUUGUGGCUUGAAGGUAUGGAGGGCACAUUUUUAGAUCGCCAUGCAAAUAGAAGCGAGGGCGUUGAUUUGGUUGUCUUAGAUGAGGUCUUGAAACAAUUUACGACUGAGUACGUGUUCUGUUGUGGGUUCUCGAAGCAGGAGUUGGAGAACACAUGUAAUGAUAGGUGGUGCAUUACAAGUGGGGGUUUACUCGAAGAGGGGUUCAUGUACAGGAGUAGGAAAUGCCUGCGUUGGUAUAUUUGUAAGGCAAAUGUUACCGAAAAGUUGAAAAACGGCAUUUGGUUCUGAAUAAGGAGUUGGAAGAGAUGGGCGUCUGGGAUAAAUAUGUGCCGCAGAGUGAAAGGCGCAAAGGGGGCAGUGAGACUGCGGGGAAGAAGAAUGAGAGAAAGCGAGGCAGUCUUCAGAGUGCGAGCCAGAGAAAUUGAAUGCAGCUUCAACUUCAGAUGUCCAGCCUGAAAAUGCUGGAAUGUCUAAAGUGAAGCAAGCCCGGAGGAAAAAAGUGAGACAGUCUUCCAGUCAGUCGGAAAUUUGGAAUCGGCUUCUGCCACGGAUGGCCAGCCCAAGCCAGAGAAACUAGUGGCAGCUUCGGGUGUCCAACCUAAAAAUGUUGUGACAUCUGAUGAGAAGCGAUCUGCCGUCAUCCAGGCGGAGAUUGAUUCAUUUUAUCACUACCUAAUGCAAUGUUCAGCCUCGAUUGAUGAUUUACAUUUACGAAUACUGUAACCAAGAAAAUAUUCAUGCAGGUUUUAAUUUUGCAGUCUUUAUGGUCCGACCUAAUCACUCACUGAGUGAUCGCCGUAAAUUUUUUCAGUUCACUCACAGUUUAAUGCGAUUAGGGUCAUUCGGCAAUAAGGCUAUUACGUCUUGUAGCAAAGUGGUGAACAGUCCAUGAGAUGUGAAUUUUCUGGCACUAGCCACAUGUAUGUUUCUAACAUUGCGUGCUUUUGUUUAAGGGGAAAGUGUUCAUAUUUCGAACAAAAAAUCCAGCGAAAUUGUUUGUAAGUACUGUGUAUUGCUUUCUAUUCGUUGACAACACUAAGACAGUUCAUGUACAGUACAUGUACAGUACAUGUAUAUGUUUUAUGUAACGAUCACCUUGUUUCCCUUCCUCAAGAUAUGAGUUGAAAGGGAAACUCCCAAGUUAAUGGCAAAUGAUAAUAAAUGCUUUUAUUUCA